UACGAAGGGUGCAAGCGUUAAUCGGAAUUACUGGGCGUAAAGCGCGCGUAGGUGGUUUUGUAAGUUGGAGGUGAAAUCCCCGGGCUCAACCUGGGAACUGCCUCCAAAACUGCAUGACUAGAGUACGGUAGAGGGUGGUGGAAUUUCCUGUGUAGCGGUGAAAUGCGUAGAGAUGUGGAGGAAUACCGAUGGCGAAGGCAGCCUCCUGGCCUAAUACUGACGCUCAUGCACGAAAGCGUGGGGAGCAAACAGGAUUAGAUACCCUGGUAGU
rnacentral:rRNA from 1 species